AUACUCAGAUAUGAAUAAUUUACACAAGGACAAGAAGAAAGCCCUGCUCUAGCUCAGACUGCUGAAGGUAACAGGCCCUGAUGGCCUUGCCUGCUUUGCCAAUGCCAGCCCAUCAAUGCCUGAAAUCUCUGUUUCUUCACCAUCAGGGUUGGGUUAGCCAGUGAAUCUGGCUCCACAAACUCCCCACAUAAAGAAAGAGGAAACUGGCUGGCUUCUGAGGAAUGACAACUUCCAAUAGGCAAAAACCACCAUCAAGUGGGCUGGGGAUUUCUAAUGGCCAGGCCUCCUUCUCCACCUCUUCCUAAGCCCAGCAACUUUAAGAAUGUAGCCCUCUGGGUUCCAGAUUCCAGGUCCUGCAUUCCAUCUUCAAGACAAACACCUUUUCCACCUACACCGCUAUCUUCCCUGCUCCCAUUCCACCAUGCUCACUGUGAUGCAAAUUCUCCAUAAGGGAAGCAUGUGGCAGGGUGGAUUUGGCAUGGACACAGAUUAAGGUGCUCUCCCAUGCGUGGCACCUAGAAGGCAUCAGUGUACGUGUGCUGCUCACGAAGGGGUGGAUUGUGCCACCCGUCUCUGUCACCCACACAGCUUCUCUGGAAUAAACGUUA